CCUACGGGUGGCAGCAGUGAGGAAUAUUGGUCAAUGGGCGAGAGCCUGAACCAGCCAAGUCGCGUGAGGGAAGACGGUCCUAUGGAUUGUAAACCUCUUUUGUCGGGGAGCAAAAAGGCCUCGUGAGGCCACAAGUGAGAGUACCCGAAGAAAAAGCAUCGGCUAACUCCGUGCCAGCAGCCGCGGUAAUACGGAGGAUGCGAGCGUUAUUCGGAUUUAUUGGGUUUAAAGGGUGCGUAGGCGGGCUGUUAAGUCAGCGGUAAAAGCCCGGGGCUCAACCCCGGCGAGCCGUUGAAACUGGCUGUCGUGAGAUGUCGAGAGGUAUGCGGAAUGCGCAGUGUAGCGGUGAAAUGCUUAGAUAUUGCGCAGAACUCCGAUUGCGAAGGCAGCAUACCGGCGGCGAUCUGACGCUGAGGCACGAAAGCGUGGGUAUCGAACAGGAUUAGAUACCCGUGUAGUC
rnacentral:rRNA from 1 species